GAUGAACGCUGGCGGCGUGCCUAAUACAUGCAAGUCGAGCGAACGGACGAGAAGCUUGCUUCUCUGAUGUUAGCGGCGGACGGGUGAGUAACACGUGGAUAACCUACCUAUAAUACUGGGAUAACUUCGGAAAACCGGAGCUAAUACCGGAUAAUAUCUUGAACCGCGUGGUGCAAAAGUGAAAGACGGUCUUGCUGUCACUUAUAGAUGGAUCCGCGCUGGAUUAGCUAGUUGGUAAGGUAACGGCUUACCAAGGCAACGAUGCAUAGCCGACCUGAGAGGGUGAUCGGCCACACUGGAACUGAGACACGGUCCAGACUCCUACGGGAGGCAGCAGUAGGGAAUCUUCCGCAAUGGGCGAAAGCCUGACGGAGCAACGCCGCGUGAGUGAUGAAGGUCUUCGGAUCGUAAAACUCUGUUAUUAGGGAAGAACAUAUGUGUAAGUAACUGUGCACAUCUUGACGGUACCUAAUCAGAAAGCCACGGCUAACUACGUG
rnacentral:rRNA from 1 species